UAGGGAAUCUUCGGCAAUGGACGAAAGUCUGACCGAGCAACGCCGCGUGAGUGAAGAAGGUUUUCGGAUCGUAAAACUCUGUUGUUAGAGAAGAACAAGGACGUUAGUAACUGAACGUCCCCUGACGGUAUCUAACCAGAAAGCCACGGCUAACUACGUGCCAGCAGCCGCGGUAAUACGUAGGUGGCAAGCGUUGUCCGGAUUUAUUGGGCGUAAAGCGAGCGCAGGCGGUUUCUUAAGUCUGAUGUGAAAGCCCCCGGCUCAACCGGGGAGGGUCAUUGGAAACUGGGAGACUUGAGUGCAGAAGAGGAGAGUGGAAUUCCAUGUGUAGCGGUGAAAUGCGUAGAUAUAUGGAGGAACACCAGUGGCGAAGGCGGCUAUCUGGUCUGUAACUGAAGCUGAGGCUAGAAAGCGUGGGGAGCAAACAGG
rnacentral:rRNA from 1 species